GAUGAACGCUGGCGGCGUGCCUAAUACAUGCAAGUCGAGCGAACGGACGAGAAGCUUGCUUCUCUGAUGUUAGCGGCGGACGGGUGAGUAACACGUGGAUAACCUACCUAUAAGACUGGGAUAACUUCGGGAAACCGGAGCUAAUACCGGAUAAUAUUUUGAACCGCAUGGUUCAAAAGUGAAAGACGGUCUUGCUGUCACUUAUAGAUGGAUCCGCGCUGCAUUAGCUAGUUGGUAAGGUAACGGCUUACCAAGGCAACGAUGCAUAGCCGACCUGAGAGGGUGAUCGGCCACACUGGAACUGAGACACGGUCCAGACUCCUACGGGAGGCAGCAGUAGGGAAUCUUCCGCAAUGGGCGAAAGCCUGACGGAGCAACGCCGCGUGAGUGAUGAAGGUCUUCGGAUCGUAAAACUCUGUUAUUAGGGAAGAACAUAUGUGUAAGUAACUGUGCACAUCUUGACGGUACCUAAUCAGAAAGCCACGGCUAACUACGUGCCAGCAGCCGCGGUAAUACGUAGGUGGCAAGCGUUAUCCGGAAUUAUUGGGCGUAAAGCGCGCGUAGGCGGUUUUUUAAGUCUGAUGUGAAAGCCCACGGCUCAACCGUGGAGGGUCAUUGGAAACUGGAAAACUUGAGUGCAGAAGAGGAAAGUGGAAUUCCAUGUGUAGCGGUGAAAUGCGCAGAGAUAUGGAGGAACACCAGUGGCGAAGGCGACUUUCUGGUCUGUAACUGACGCUGAUGUGCGAAAGCGUGGGGAUCAAACAGGAUUAGAUACCCUGGUAGUCCACGCCGUAAACGAUGAGUGCUAAGUGUUAGGGGGUUUCCGCCCCUUAGUGCUGCAGCUAACGCAUUAAGCACUCCGCCUGGGGAGUACGACCGCAAGGUUGAAACUCAAAGGAAUUGACGGGGACCCGCACAAGCGGUGGAGCAUGUGGUUUAAUUCGAAGCAACGCGAAGAACCUUACCAAAUCUUGACAUCCUUUGACAACUCUAGAGAUAGAGCCUUCCCCUUCGGGGGACAAAGUGACAGGUGGUGCAUGGUCGUCGUCAGCUCGUGUCGUGAGAUGUUGGGUUAAGUCCCGCAACGAGCGCAACCCUUAAGCUUAGUUGCCAUCAUUAAGUUGGGCACUCUAAGUUGACUGCCGGUGACAAACCGGAGGAAGGUGGGGAUGACGUCAAAUCAUCAUGCCCCUUAUGAUUUGGGCUACACACGUGCUACAAUGGACAAUACAAAGGGCAGCGAAACCGCGAGGUCAAGCAAAUCCCAUAAAGUUGUUCUCAGUACGGAUUGUAGUCUGCAACUCGACUACAUGAAGCUGGAAUCGCUAGUAAUCGUAGAUCAGCAUGCUACGGUGAAUACGUUCCCGGGUCU
rnacentral:rRNA from 1 species